AACGAACGCUGGCGGCGUGCCUAACACAUGCAAGUCGAGCGAGAAAAGGGGAGCAAUCCCCUGAGUACAGCGGCGCACGGGUGAGUAACACGUAGGUGAUCUCCCCUCGAGCCCGGAAUAACCUACCGAAAGGUGGGCUAAUACCGGAUAUGACCACGGGAGUUUCGGCUCCUGCGGUGAAAGAUGGCCUCUACCUGUAAGCUAUCACUCAAGGAUGAGCCUGCGGCCAUUAGCUAGUUGGUGAGGUAACGGCUCACCAAGGCGAUGAUGGCUAGCUGGUCUGAGAGGAUGGCCAGCCACACUGGGACUGAAACACGGCCCAGACUCCUACGGGAGGCAGCAGUGGGGAUAUUGCGCAAUGGGCGAAAGCCUGACGCAGCGACGCCGCGUGGGUGAUGAAGGCC
rnacentral:rRNA from 1 species